AAGACUAAGGCUGAGGCUAAGGCGAACGCUAGCGAUGCUAAGCUGACGUCAUGACCAAAUGUUAGCGAUUGGUUACGGCAGAUCC